rnacentral:lncRNA from 1 species
GGGGGGGGGGGCUAGGAGGAAAAAUUUUGUCCUGCAUUUUUUUUUAGCUGUAAUCUCUGUCCUGCCUUUUUAUUUUUCACUCUGUUCGGUCCUGCCUUUUUUUUUUUUGUUUAUCCUGACUUAUUUUUACCUAAAUUGUCGUCCUGACUUUUUUUUUUGCAAGUGUCUCAUCCUGCCUUUUUUUUUACUCAAAACUCCUGUCCUGCCUAUUUUUUUCAAAUUUCAUCCUAGCCCCCCCCCCAUAAAAAUUAAAUGGUAGCUCCUUAAUUUUGUCUACUUUCGACCGGUUCAAACCAGCUCGACUAGUGAAGUGUAAAAAAAUUCAAAUAAAUAUUAUAACUAUUCUAAAGAAUCUCCCCACUUUUUUAAUUGGAAACAAUCACUGUUUUAAAAUCUUUAUAAUACUACAAAAACUUGAAAAAAGUGUGAGUUAAUUCUGUUUUUUAA